CUAGCUUUGAUGAAUUUCUCUUGGAUACAACUACUUUAUCAAGUUUUAGUAGAAGUCGUUGAUAGAAUUGUUGAGCUAAGUGCUACUACUUGUGCAUUGUAGAAAGAGUUAAAGAUAAGAAAUUGAAAGAUGUAGCUUUUAAGACUGAAUUUCUGGAAUUUUCGUAGAAGGCUUCAUAUUACAACAAUAACGUGAGUUCUUGGUUAGUAAAGGAACUCCUACGAAAUUGUACCGUGUAAUCAUAGCAGGAUUUUGUGAUUCUAAGAGAGCACAUUACAAUCUUUUCCAAGAAUAUCAUAUGGAUUUUUCUCUACUCCAGGUAUGUUAAGGCUAUCCCUUCUUUCUUUUGGCAUGAUCCAUACGAUACGAGUGAAACGUGCAAAUGCACAAAUUCCAUGAAUGACUCUAUUCUUAGAAGUAUUAGAGAUAUAUAUGUUCUUGAAUUUCUGUGUGUCAUAAUAUUUUAUCAUCUGUUCAUGGGUCUCAGAAAAAAAAAUAAUACGAAAGUUGAAAAGAGUUUACUUUAUGAUAUUACUCAAAGGCAAAAUGGUCUUAUGAGCUCCGAAAUAUUUUAUUAACGUACUUUUCAUGCAUUGUAUUCAUGUGUAUUUACCCAUGACCAUACGGCGUUAUAUACGCAUAUAUAUGUAAAUAUAUGUAUAAGGGAUAUAGGAAAAGGUUAUAGUGUUAUGUACGCACCACCACCUGAUCAGCUGACAUAUGAUGAUGAUAUUGCCCACAACGGCUGAAAUAUGAUUCAAACAGUGUUAUAUACACAUAUAUAUAUAUGUAUGUAUGUAUAUAUAUAUGGUAUAUGGGAAAGGUUAUGGUGUUAUAUACGCACCACCACCUGAUCAGCUGGUAUAUGACGAUGAUGUUGCCCACAAUGGCUGAAAUAUGAUUCAAACGACGUUAUAUACGCGUAUAUAUGUAUGUAUGUAUGUAUGUAUAUAUAUAUAUAUAUAUAUGGGAUAUAGGAAAUGUUACGAUGUUAUAUAUGCACUACCACCUGAUCAGCUGGUAUACGAUGAUGAUUUUGCCCACAGUGGCCAAUAUGAUAUGAUGGGAUGCCCUCAGAGGCUGAUAAUGUUAUGAAACAUUUACCUAUGCACGACAUGACAUUCAUAUGCUUAUGUAUGACGCUAAAAGUAAUUUAUUAUUUACAAAGUUAUUCAGUCUUACAGGUUGAGUCAUGUACUCUAUAUUUUUUCCAUGUCUCUUAUGUAUUUAUUUAUGUGCCUUACAUACUCGGUACAUUAUUCGUACUAACGUUUAUUUUACCUGAAGACGCUGCGCUUCAUGCUCGCAGGUCCCGAUAGACAGGUCGAGAGCCCUCCAAGUAGGCUAUCAGCUCCGCGGAAGAUGUUGGUACACUUCAUUUGCUUCGGAGUUGCUUGUUUGGUUAGUAUAAUUUAGACGUGUAUGUACUCUUAGAGGCUUAUAGACAUAUGUCGUGUACGUGAAAGAUUGUACGGUCUUGUCGGCCUAUGUUUUGAGUUUAUAAAUGAUCAUGUUGGCCUAUUAAGCCCGUAUGUCAUGUGUAUAUGAUGAUGUAAUAAGAAAUAUACGUUACGU
rnacentral:lncRNA from 1 species